rnacentral:rRNA from 1 species
UACGUAGGGGGCAAGCGUUGUCCGGAAUUAUUGGGCGUAGAGCGCGCGCAGGUGGUCCUUUAAGUCUGAUGUGAAAGCCCACGGCUCAACCGUGGAGGGUCAUUGGAAACUGGGGGACUUGAGUGCAGAAGAGGAAAGUGGAAUUCCAAGUGUAGCGGUGAAAUGCGUAGAGAUUUGGAGGAACACCAGUGGCGAAGGCGUCGUUCGGGUCUGUAAAUGACACUGAGGCGUGAAAGCGUGGGGAGCAAACAGG